rnacentral:lncRNA from 1 species
UAAAGAGUGACUCAUUAUAUGGUCUGAUGAGGAUAAGACAAUGGGGAACAGAUUAAAACUAAGAGGGGAGGCUGAGGUUGUAUGUUAGGAGGAAAUUCUUUACUCAGAGGGGGGUGAGGUACUGGUACAGGCUGCCCUGAGAGGUUGUGGGCACCCCAUCCCUGGAGCUGCUCAAGGCUGGGUCGAAUGGGGCCCUUCCCUACUAUCUGUCCUACUUCCUGUGAUUGAUGCCAUUUGCAGUCGGUGCGUUCCAUUCAACUCUUCUUUGUACCAGAAUAUGUUCAAUUUUCUCAUAUUCCACAGAUUUAGCUUAGGUAAGUGCAAAUCUUUGGAAUGGAAGGAGUGCACCUUUAAGAGCCAUGAGUAAAAACACCUUGCGUUUGAAUUAUGGAUUCAAAUUAAUUCAUUAAGAAUUAAGAUGGGGAAAACCAGUCUUAGCUGAUCUGCCACCUACAGGACCAGUACUUCUCAUUCCCAAGGAACCACUGAUUUUUCAUAUGUGAAUAUGUACCAACGCCCACAGAUAGCACCGUCGUAUUUGUACUAAGUGGAUAACCCCAUCCUUCUCAUCCUUGUAUUCUCUCUAUGUACACAGGUACAUGAGAAGGAGCAAUCAAGACCCUUGUUAACUGUGACUAUAUUAAUUAUUGCAGGGUGGCAUAAGAGACUGAGAGGUAAGAGGGCUGAUGUCCCAAAUGCUCCCUAGAAGGGUGAAAUGAGAGCACCACGCUAAGAAGAUAAGGGGCAGUAGGAGGAGAGGCCUACUGAAGUUGAGGAGUUCAUAAACAUGAAUCAGAGUUGGAAAAAGAACAGCAGUAGCCUCCAAAUCCCUGGCGUGCGGUGAAGGUAUGUGUGUUACACUCGAGUGAAAAAGAAACCAACCAACACAAUAUCAUUGAGUUUCAGAUCCUGAAUCAAGAAAACAAGGGUACAUGUUGUUGGUUAAUGCUUAUCCCCUAGUUAUUCUCUUAUGAACAGUAACUCAAACAUUAUUUUACUUUUUUUUUUUUUUUUUUUUUUGGUCCAAAAAGGCUGCUUACUGUCCCUUCCACAAAGCUGAUUCACCUGAGUGUAGAUGGGGCGUCUUAAUGUGUGUGGCCACGUUCUGACAGUGUCGUGGACAAUGAGACUUCAUUUAUGCGUGUUUUGUGUUUGUUAUGCAGAAGGUAAUUGCUUGCAACUGGG